rnacentral:rRNA from 1 species
GACUGUUUUAGCAAAGACAUUGCUUAUUGGAAAAAAAUAAUAAGUAAUUUCUGCCCACUACAAUUAGUGCAAAGGGCUGCAGUAUUUUGACUGUAUUAAGGUAGCAUAAUCAUUAGCCUUUUAAUUGGGGGCUGGUAUGAAGAGAAAACGGGGAGAAAGUUUAUUUUUUUGGUAUUUUGAAUUUAAUUUCUAUGUGAAAAAUCAUAGAAGUGGCUGAGGGACAAGAAGACCCUAAUAAGUUUAAUUUUUGUUUAGUAAAAAGUAUAAAGGAUAAAAUUAAUAAAGAUUAAUAUAAUUUAUUUUCAAAAGUUUGUCUGGGGCAGAAAAUAUAUCAUUAAUAUUUAAUAUGUAAUUUUAUGUGAAGCGCGAAGAAGACCUGACUAGGUCAGUUGCAGGAAAAAUUACUUUAGGGAUAACAGCGUUAUUAUUUCUGAGAGUUCUUAUUGAUGAAGUAGUUUGCGACCUCGAUGUUGGAUUAAGAUGGAGACAUUGGCGCAGUAGUUGAUGGAUUGGUC